AAAAAGAAAAAAAGAAAAAAGAGCACAGCCAGGCAACAGAGAAAAAGAAAAGAUAAAAUAAAAUCCCAUUCCCACAUCACUUGAAUUUUCUUGUAAGGAUUCAGCUCUUCCCAGCUACAAUGGAACGACAAAAUUAUUGCCUUAAGGUAAAACUAUGUGAAGUAGAUGCCACAUUUAUGCUCUUGUUUUUGCCUAAUCGUAUAAUUUCAGACAAAAAAGAAAUAUUCGAAGAUAGUUAUAUUGUUCGUUCUUUGGUAUUUAUAUCACAAAAGAAAUAAGAAACACCGCCCUAAUUGCUUCGUUGAGGUGGUGUCCUCUAAUAAUAAAAGGAAUCGUUCCCCACCACUCCAUAGAAACAUACAGUAUCCUCUCCGAGCCUAUGCUUCUAACAGUAGACCUCCCAUUAAUGAUGAAUUCAAUAUACGAAUGCAGAUUUUAGUGCACGUUUCCAUGGAAGGCCAUCCUGAUUCAGCAUUCAUCCCAUGAUUUUGUGAAGGAACAACAACGCUAAUAUGAAUAGAGAAAAUUCAAGCAUAAAUGUAGGCCCCGUCACGUGCUCAAGAAGAUGCUGCCACCUGUAAGUUCAACCAGUAGAUAGCUGCUGAUAAAGCCUGUUAUCCAUUUCAGGAUCUUCAUCACAGACAGUAGAAAAAUUACUAAAGUCGCCAACAACAUGCAGUCAACAUUUGGACAGUUCUCACAUAAACUAAUCCAAAUAAGAUAGCAGAAUACUACUGCAAGCCUAUUCCUUCAGACUAAUAGCAAUUUAAUUCUCUAAAAUGCUAAUAAAUUGAUCGUUUUAAAGAACUACUGUUAACACUCAAAGAUUUUAAUCCCAAUAAAGAAAAGGCAUUUUAGGAAAAUAAAAACAUUAAUCAAGACGAUCCAUGAACUAAACAUCAAUACAAUGUAAGCAAAUUAGUAAAAUAAUUGUCUAGUGCAUCCGCCAUUGUGAUUUUCAUGCCAUCAUGGUUCUCAAAUAGGCCCCACAAAGUCUCCAUUUGAAACAGUAACUAUACAGGUAUCACAUAUGCUGAAUAUUUCCUAUAAGAUAGUUCACGGUAAUCUAGAAUAGUUUUUGAAGCCAAACAGUCAUCAUUCAUUUGUUUGAAUAGCUAGUAAUUAAUGUACUGAGAUCUGAGGCAGACCUUAAAUAACUGUCCAGACCUCAUUUUUCCUCAUAAAGGGCAGUAUUACUUGGGAUGUUUACAAUUUAUGCUAAGCAAUGCAAUAGAAUAUGAUUCAAAAAUAAUCACAUAACGGUAAAAAAUUUAUUAAAUUAAAACCUAAUGCAGCUCUUAGGGUCCUCAUGCAGCAAAGUUUCAAGAAAAAGAAACAUAAGGUAAAACAUAUUAUCAAGAAAGAACACUUACCAACUUCCUUCAAUUGAGGUACCAUUUUCAUUUUUUAUCUCCUCCAGAGUAAGUUCCUCUAGUAUAGCUCGCUGGCGUUCAUUUAUUUCAGUGGGAAAGUUAAUGCGAAACCGCACAAAUUGGUCUCCAUGUUCCUUGAGAAAACCAUGCUUUGGUAGUCCUUUGCCUCUUAGUACUAUAAGUUGUCCAGGCUGAACCCCUUUGGGUAUCUUUACUUGGUAUUUUCCUGACAAAGUUGGCACGUCAACCUUACCACCAAGGAUGGCUUGGGUAAAGCUAAUAUUAGCAUCCACGUAGACAUCUGUUCCAUCCCUAGUAAAGACAGGAUCAUCAGCAACCUUAAGAUUAAUGAAUAAGUUGCCAGGUUGACGUCCUCGUCCGCCAGUAUUACCAGCUUCUGGCACACGGAUUGAAUCCCCAGAAUCAACACCUGCUGGUAUUGUAACUUUAACUUCCUUAACACCUUCAACCACCCCUGAUCCUCCGCAUGACAUACAGUAAUCCUGUGCCAAACAUAUAAAGCAUAAAUAAUAGUUCUAAGGGCAGAUGAAAAUCAAAUUUUCUUAUCUACUGGAAUUCACAUCUAACCUUAAUGAUUUGGCCUGACCCUUUACAUGCACUGCAUGCUGACGUAAAUGGAGGAAUUGUAAUCUAGUUGAAAUUUUGUAUAUUGUUAUAUAAAAAGAAUGGAAAAAGAAAUCAUUUCGAAAAAAGUGAAUCUUUUCAUGCUGAUUUAUUCACCAAUUGUUAUCUAUGUGCAGAUUCAGGAAACUUACUUUUCCUACGCCUCUGCAAGUUGGGCAAACUCUUGUUUUGGCAUCAACUGGAAAGCCACGUCCAUCUGCAUUAUGGGAUAGGCCAGGGAAUGACGAAAACCAAUCAUUUAUAAUAGGGUAAUGAAAUGUCUCAAAGGAGAUAACUUCAAACUAUUGCGCUUUAACCUAUUUGCAAGUCCUCCCAGAGAAGUUUCUCCAACAAUACUACUUAGAAAGAGAUAGUAAUAUAGAAUUUGCAUGCUGCAAAGUCUGCUCUGAGAAUGAAUCACAUUGCCUUCACAAUGGUCCACAACAGUUACCUUCCUAAAUUAGAAUUUAAAUUACUGAGCUUUUUUUGUCAAUUAUCACGGAUUUAAAUUUCCUUAACAGAUAAAAAAAAUGUACAAGGGCAUCCAAAGAAAAAAGACAUUCGCUGCAGGAAUACUUAGGUACAAUUGGUAAACAUGCAAUAACAAAUAAUGAAUAACAUUGCAAGAAAAGUACAGAAAGAUUCUUGUACAUAAAUGAGGAUUUUUGCUUCAACGAUGCCCCAAAUAAAAUAUGAUUCUAAGAAAAUGGUAAUUUUAAUUACUGACCACAUGAAUCACAAGGAACAUAUGCAUCAAAAGACAGGUUCUUCGUGCAUCCCCUUGCAGCUUCAGUAAAAGAGAGUAGUGCCUCCACCUGAAUGUCAGAUGCAAACUGAUUGGUCUCAUCUUCAAAGAUCUCAGAGAAUAUUUUUUGGAAUGAAUCAGAGAAAUUAGUUCGAUAAGAAUAUGUAAAUCCCCCUGCAUUUCCAGCACCAUAUCUAAACUUUUCUGCAUCAUCAGCACCAUAUCCAAACCAAUCUGCAUGAUUUGCACCAUACUCUACCUUCUCUGAAUUUCUAGCAUGCCUCCUAUCAUAUUCUGCCCUCUUCUCAGAAUCUUUCAAUAUCUCAUAGGCCUCCCUAAUGUCUUGAAAUUUCCUCUUUGUGGAAGGAUUAUUCUUAUUCGCAUCUGGAUGGUACUUCUUGGCAAGCGAUCGAAAAGCCUUUUUAAUCUCAUCUUGGCUAGCAUUUUCAGGAACGCCAAGAAUUUCAUAGUAACUUGAUUCCUUAGCAUUGCCAAUUCCUGUAGAGUAAAUACAUCUGCACUUCAUCAACUGCAUUUCAGUUUUCCCAAAACGAGUGCUUUUCCCGAAAGCAAAACUAUAACUGUGCAAAAUGUAUUGGCUUAAGUUUGUAACCAAGAGCUUACAUCGAUCACGAAAAAAGUCUCGGCGCAAUGUAGAGAUUUUCCGGUGGCAAUCUUCCCCAGCGACCGCCGGUUCUACAGCCGUAGAUGAUAGCAAAUGCCGCCGACAUAGCGCCGUUAGCCAACCGUAUCUUCCCAUUUUGGAGCCAAAAUAGUGAUAAUGGGAAAUUAAAAGAGAUCACGUAGGUUCUAUAAAAAGAAUCAAAACAAGAAAUGAGAGAGAAAUGAAUCCGUGGUCCUUCGUCCUGAGAAAGAAAAGAAUUUCGCUGAAUUUGAGAGGGCUUAAGAGACAAAUACGGUACCGUUUCGAAGAAAAGUGUGAAAGGCCACGCGCUUAAAAGAAACACCUUAAAAAUGGCAGUAGCAGAAAUCAGAGCUUUCUGAGCAAUAACCUAAAGUAGCUUUGCUUCCAUGGCGAUUCGCAUUCGGCCACUGACUUCCAGUCUUAGAAGUGGUCGGCUUCAAUUCGAUGACAGAAAUCUCUCAAUGUUCAUAUGCUCACUGGCUUCACCGAUGAAUAAGGUCGGCGAAUCAUGCUUGAAAUAUACUAAUUCCAAUGGCAACCUCAAAAAGGAGAUUUUGAGACUGAAUUUGCCUGGAGAAAGCGCAAUCCCCUUGCUUCAAAAUUGGGUCGAUAAUGGCCGGAAAAUUACAGUCUCCGAGCUCAGAUAUAUCUCUGGGAUACUUGCGAAAUCUAGGCGAUACAACCACGCACUUGAGGUUCCUCCAUUUAACUCUUUCUUUAUAAUCACCAUAAAUUCACUGUAAAUUUCUUGUUUUCCAAUCCAAUAUUGUAAUACGGCCCAUUUUACCCAUCUUUUUGUGGGAAUGCAUUGAUUUAGUUCUGGUUUGUUUCUAUCUGGAAUUGUGAUUCAUAUUUUGUGAAAUUGCACGAUGAGGUGGUUUGUGAGAGGGGUGACUUUCCAGUUAGUAGAAAGAUUCCAUUUUCAACGCACAUUUGAAUAUUGAUGAAGAAAAAAAAAAUUCUGCAUCUUCUUGUAAAUAUAGCUCUUGGUGAUUCCAAUAUUUUCUAGCAGGACUUCGCAUUACUAACUUCUUUGUGAACAACAUAUUCUUGUAACGAUCAUUAGGUAAUUCCUUUCAUCCUUCGAUUCUGUGGCGAAAAUAUCUAAUGUUCUUAUGGGCUCUUUGAUUCUGUUAAUAUACAGAUAUUCAGAUGGAUGGAUACUCGAAAUAAUUUCCACAUGUCAGCAGCAGAUCAUGCUGUGAAAUUAGAAUUAAUCAUGAAAGUGCAUGGUUUAAGGGAGGCUGAAGAGUAUUUCAAACUUUUACCCAAUUCUGCUACAAGAAAGGCUGCCUCUUUCCCUCUUCUUCAUGGAUAUGUAAAGGAACGAGACACUGUGAAAGCUGAAGCUCUCAUGAAGAAUCUAAAUGACUUGGGUCUGAUUGUGAGUUCUCAUCCAUUUAAUGAGAUGAUGAAACUUUAUAUGGCUACAUCGCAGUAUGAGAAAGUACUUUUUGUGAUCCAGCAAAUGAAACAUAAUAAAAUACCCUUAACUAUUCUCUCCUAUAAUCUUUGGAUGAAUUCGUGUGGCGAGGUGUCUAAGGUCACUGAUGCUGAGAUGGUUUACAGGGAAAUGGUGAACAAUAAAAGCGUUGAAGUUGGGUGGAGCACUCUAUCUACUUUGGCCAAUAUUUACAUAAAGGCAGGUCUUGCUGACAAAGCUUUUUUAGCACUUGAAAAUGCAGAGAGAAAGCUCUCUACCAAUGAUCACCUUGGUUACUUCUUCCUGAUUACACAACAUGCCUCAUUGAAGAAUAAGGAGGGAGUUCGGCGGCUUUGGAAAGCCAGUAAAGGAGUUGGUGGAAGAAUCUCAUGUGCCAACUACAUGUGUAUAUUGUCAUGCUUCGUUAAGGUAGGUGACCUUAUAGAAGCUGAAAGAGUGUUUAUGGAAUGGGAAAGCAAUUGUAGGAAUUAUGACAUUAGAGUUUCCAAUGUCCUUCUAGGUGCAUAUGUGCGGAAUGGACUGAUAAACAAAGCUGAGUCAUUACAUCUUCGCACGUUGGAGAGGGGUGGAUGCCCAAAUUUUAAGACAUGGGAGAUUCUAAUGGAGGGAUGGGUACAGAGCCAAAAGAUGGAUAAAGCCAUCAUUGCUGUGAAGCAAGCAUUUUCCAUGUUGAACCAUUGUAAAUGGAGACCGUCACAUGGUAUUUUAGUGGCUAUUGCAGAGUACUUGGAGAAGAACAGGAAUUUUGAAGAUGCAAAUCACUAUGUUCAAGAUAUUCAUCAUUUGGGUCUUGCAAGUUUACCGCUGUAUAAAAUACUCCUCAGAAUGCGCCUCCAUGCAGGGAAAGCUGCUUCUGACAUCCUUAAGAUGAUGGAGAAGGAUAAAAUUGAGAUGGAUAAUGAGACUUCUUCCCUUGUUCAAGCCUUAUAUUCAUGUGUGUAAUCAAUCAGUGGUAUUGAUCAAUGUAGUGGAUUCAUGAGAAGACUGGUGGUGUUAAUUCACUGUUCUUAUGAUGCUUAUUUGGGAUUAAAGAUUUGGUGAGGGAGAAAAACUAGAUAGAGUAAAAAUGAAGCAAGCAGACAAUCCUUUGAAAAUGAAAGCUAAACAAGUGCAAAUCUUUCUUAAUUCAGCAAAUUGCCUACUUAAGGGCUUUAUGUUCAUAUCUUUCUUAAUUCAGCGGGUAUCUAAGAGUUUCACCAAUAUUGUGUAGCCCUGGUAAAUGCUACAUGGACAAUGGGACAAUCUCAGCAUGGAUGCACACUUUUGUGAUGCUUGUUGGUAUCGAUAUCCUCUUUGAAGACUUGAAUUGCUUUUGCAAUCAACUAACUGCAAGAACUAAAAAUGAAGAAGAAUAUAAUUGUUCAGCAAUUCUGCAAAUUUUGUUAUUUGUGUUGAUGGUUCUGUCAUGAAUAACAGUUGACAUUUUGCCAUAUAAUCUCCAGACCCAAAGCAUUUGCAGUCACAAAUGUUGACUGCUUGCCGGCAAUCUGCAGUCGUGAAUAAUGCUAAAUGCUCCACCUUAAUACAAUGGUGAAAUCCUCCUGGAAGCUUUUGAUAUGCGCUAGCAAUUUGUAGCAAGGUUCGAAUACAGCCACCAGCAAUGUCAAGAAGGAUUACUAUUUCACCUCCAAGGAUUUUUUUCUUCCUUCAAGACCACUUUCCAAAAUCGUCAGAUUAACUCGUGAUUCUUUUGGAACUUCUUAUCCCCUUCCACAACAAAUUUUCACAUAAUUGCUUGCAUGCAUUGGUAUAGCAGAUGGGCCAUUUUAAAUAUUUGGAGAACGAGUAGUUGCACUUUGUUUGCUGUAUAUCAUCCCUUAUAAUUUAAAACUGGUCCUUUCUGAAACCAGUGCAAGGAUUCAUUCUUGAAUUUACCUUUUCAUAACCUGGAUUAAGGGAAUUAGCCCUUCCAUAGUCCGACACCGCAUUGACAAGUUCGUUGAACUCAAUACGCUCCACUAGGGUUCUUCACAAGAAAUGCACAACAUGCAUGCUAUUUCUGAGAAAUUUAGUUAAGGGUUUUUUUUUGUUUGGGUUUAAUUUGAUUACAUAUUAUUUCAGCAUGAAUACAGCUCAUUGUUAAUGUAAUAUAGCCAACAAGCGAUCAUGCACAGAAGCCAGGCAGGCACAAUGAGAAAUGAAGCUGUAGGCUUCAGGUUGAUGAAGCUCUCCACAGCCACAAGAUGUAAAGGCCUUUGAGGUCCUAUUGCAAUUUAUCGCGGGAAGGGAUACUUUCCUUGACGGCAUGAACUUCAAGGAAGAGGUCAAAACAAAGCAUUGAGCAGAGGCAUGGUAUCUGCAUCGAUCACAUAUACAUCAGCAAUUUCCUUAACUAUUUGGGUCCAUCUUCGAGUCUAUCCUGCAGAAAUCUCCAGAUAGCCAAUGAUUUCACCUCCAAAGAAUUUGUUCCCCUCCAAGGCGCUUUCCAGAGUCUUCAGAUACUCUCAAGCCUCUUUCACUACUUUCUCUUUCUCCUUCCCUUCUGUGGCAAUUGUACGAAUGAUCACACGCAUGCACUGAAAUAGGAGAAUAGUGUGUCAAUGGAUUUCUUGGAAAGAAAAUAAUAAAAGUCUAACCUUUUGUGAUAAUUUGUAGUAAAUGUCAAAUUUCAAGAAAAAUGAACCGCUUACAUUUUGAACAAGUUUGUUUGAAACUUUCUGAUCCAAUUUAUCUGAAAUUUUCCUUUACGAACACGGGGUUUCUUCACUCUCCUUCUCUGCUGCAGAUUUUGCUCAGAAGCGUGCCUGGCCCUUUCAUAGGGAUCUUGUGGGAGGAGUAGAUUUCCCUUCUACUUCUCAUCUAAUUAUAACCAGAGACUCCGCCACAGGACUGCUGUUGUGUUUGUACGAGCAGUGGAACCUUCUUGUCGACUGGGUUGUUCAGCGACAGCAAGGACUCUCGUUUGAAAACUCCUCUUCAACCAACUCAUACUUAUUCCUUUCAGCUUCAGAGCCCAUUAAAAUCUGAGGGCCGAAGACUUCCCA
rnacentral:misc_RNA from 1 species